rnacentral:rRNA from 1 species
AGAAUCAACGCUGGCGGCGUGCCUAACACAUGCAAGUCGAACGCGAAAUGGGCUUCGGCCCAAAUCGAGUGGCGAACGGGUGAGUAACACGUGGGUGAUCUACCUUCGAGCGGGGGAUAACGUCCGAAAGGACGCUAAUACCGCAUGACGUCCUGGGUUUAAGACCUGGAGACCAAAGCUAGGGACCGCAAGGCCUGGCACUUGAAGAGGAGCCCGCGUCCGAUUAGCUAGUUGGCGGGUAAUGGCCCACAAGGCACGAUC